rnacentral:lncRNA from 1 species
GGUCUGUGCUUCUCACUUAAUUUUACUUGAUUAUCGAAGUCAACUUACCAUUAAAUAAUUGAAUAGUGUAUUUAAGAUAACUGAGGAUAUGGUUUGAAUUUAAAUGCCCCAAAAAAUAUAUGUUGAAAGGGGUGAAUACUUUUAUCAUUUUGAAACCAGGUCGUGAUUCAGAGUAAUGAUGAUAUUGCCAGCAGAGCUAUAGAUCUCCUCAAAGAGAUAUACACAAACCUUGGUCCAAGACUACAAGUCAAUCAGGUGGUGAUCCAUGAAGACUUCAUUCAGUCUUGUUUUGAUCGUCUGAAGGCUUCCUAUGACACGUUGUGUGUUUUGGAUGGUGACAAAGACAGUGUUAAUUGUGCAAGACAGGAAGCUGUUCGAAUGGUUCGAGUAUUAACUGUUUUAAGGGAAUAUAUAAAUGAAUGUGACAGUGAUUAUCAUGAGGAAAGAACAAUUCUCCCUAUGUCAAGAGCAUUCCGUGGUAAACACCUCUCUUUUGUAGUUCGAUUUCCAAACCAGGGCAGACAGGUUGAUGACUUGGAGGUAUGGUCUCAUACAAAUGAUACAAUUGGUUCAGUACGACGAUGUAUUCUCAAUCGUAUUAAAGCCAACGUAGCCCACACAAAAAUUGAGCUCUUUGUGGGCGGUGAGCUGAUAGAUCCUGCAGAUGAUAGAAAGUUGAUUGGACAAUUAAACUUAAAAGAUAAAUCGCUUAUUACAGCCAAACUUACACAAAUAAGUUCCAAUAUGCCUUCAAGCCCUGAUAGCUCUUCUGAUUCCUCCACUGGAUCUCCUGGAAACCAUGGUAAUCAUUACAGUGAUGGUCCCAAUCCAGAAGUGGAAAGCUGUUUGCCUGGAGUGAUAAUGUCACUGCAUCCCAGAUACAUCUCUUUUCUUUGGCAAGUUGCAGACUUAGGUAGCAGCCUAAAUAUGCCACCGCUUAGAGAUGGAGCAAGAGUACUUAUGAAACUUAUGCCGCCAGAUAGCACAACAAUAGAAAAAUUAAGAGCUAUUUGUUUAGACCAUGCCAAACUUGGAGAAAGCAGCCUUAGUCCAUCUCUUGACUCACUUUUCUUUGGUCCUUCAGCCUCACAAGUGCUAUAUCUAACAGAGAUCAACCAAGUUACCCAUGAUCAAGCAGUGGUGCUACAAAGUGCCCUUCAGAGCAUUCCUAAUCCAUCAUCCGAGUGCAUGCUUAGAAAUGUGUCAGUUCGUCUUGCUCAGCAGAUAUCUGAUGAGGUUAGUUUUAUCAAGACUUCUGUCACAAUUUUAACUUUCCUAGGCCCACUUACUUUAAUCACUGUCUCAUCCUUUAGAUAAUGUUCCCUUAGUAUCAGUUUUGUCUACUAUUAAUAUUAGUACUUUCUGUUUUUAAUCAACUAUAUGUAUAAUAAACAGCAUCCUUUUAAAGUAUACAGAUUGGGUGAUUUUUUUUUUUUUUUUUUUUUUU